AAAGCUAACCAUACCUAGGCGAAAACACCAGUUCCCGUCCGAUCACUGCAGUUCAGUGUCUGAGGAUCUUGUGAUUAAUAUGCUUCGAAGAGAACAUUUGUUUUC
rnacentral:rRNA from 1 species